rnacentral:rRNA from 1 species
GAUGAACGCUGGCGGCGUGCCUAAUACAUGCAAGUCGAGCGAACGGACGAGAAGCUUGCUUCUCUGAUGUUAGCGGCGGACGGGUGAGUAACACGUGGAUAACCUACCUAUAAGACUGGGAUAACUUCGGGAAACCGGAGCUAAUACCGGAUAAUAUUUUGAACCGCAUGGUUCAAAAGUGAAAGACGGUCUUGCUGUCACUUAUAGAUGGAUCCGCGCUGCAUUAGCUAGUUGGUAAGGUAACGGCUUACCAAGGCAACGAUGCAUAGCCGACCUGAGAGGGUGAUCGGCCACACUGGAACUGAGACACGGUCCAGACUCCUACGGGAGGCAGAAGUAGGGAAUCUUCCGCAAUGGGAGAAAGCCUGACGGAGCAACGCCGCGUGAGUGAUGAAGGUCUUCGGAUCGUAAAACUCUGUUAUUAGGGAAGAACAUAUGUGUAAGUAACUGUGCACAUCUUGACGGUACCUAAUCAGAAAGCCACGGCUAACUACGUG